ACUGGCGCUGAUGACUGAACUUUUUUCCCCAGCAGAUCGACUCUGUUGACUUUUCAGAAAAAACUAAGCCAAAGUGUCUGAGCCAUCAGU